CCACUUCGGUGGGGAUUAGUGGCGAACGGGUGAGUAACACGUGGGCAAUCUGCCCUGCACUCUGGGACAAGCCCUGGAAACGGGGUCUAAUACCGGAUACUGACCCGCUUGGGCAUCCAAGCGGUUCGAAAGCUCCGGCGGUGCAGGAUGAGCCCGCGGCCUAUCAGCUUGUUGGUGAGGUAGUGGCUCACCAAGGCGACGACGGGUAGCCGGCCUGAGAGGGCGACCGGCCACACUGGGACUGAGACACGGCCCAGACUCCUACGGGAGGCAGCAGUGGGGAAUAUUGCACAAUGGGCGAAAGCCUGAUGCAGCGACGCCGCGUGAGGGAUGACGGCCUUCGGGUUGUAAACCUCUUUCAGCAGGGAAGAAGCGAAAGUGACGGUACCUGCAGAAGAAGCGCCGGCUAACUACGUGCCAGCAGCCGCGGUAAUACGUAGGGCGCGAGCGUUGUCCGGAAUUAUUGGGCGUAAAGAGCUCGUAGGCGGCUUGUCACGUCGGUUGUGA
rnacentral:rRNA from 1 species